rnacentral:lncRNA from 1 species
GAUGCGGAGUGGUAGGGUAUAAAGAUGUUGUUGAGGAAACAAAAUAGAAUGUGGUACUUUGUUUUCAAGUACAGAGGAAGGCAUGCGGUUGAUUAAGUAGCAGGCUGUGAGAAUUGCAUCUCCCCAAAAACGAGGAGGUACAUUAUUGUGAAGGAGCAUGGUACGAGCCGUUUCCACCAAGUUUCGGUUCUUUCUCUUAGCGACACCGUUUUGUUGAGGGGAAUGAGCACACGAAGUUUGAUGGAGGAUUCCCUGUGAAGUCAAAAAAGAUUGAAAAGACGUAGACAAAUAUUCGCGAGCGUUAU